rnacentral:rRNA from 1 species
UACGGAGGGUGCGAGCGUUAAUCGGAAUUACUGGGCGUAAAGCGCACGCAGGCGGUCAAUUAAGUCAGAUGUGAAAUCCCCGGGCUUAACCCGGGAAUUGCAUCUGAUACUGGCAAGCUUGAGUCUCGUAGAGGGGGGUAGAAUUCCAUGUGUAGCGGUGAAAUGCGUAGAGAUGUGGAGGAAUACCGGUGGCGAAGGCGGCCCCCUGGACAAAGACUGACGCUCAGGUGCGAAAGCGUGGGGAGCAAACAGG